CGGAGAAGGUGUUCAACGGUAUGCUUCUGAGAGACGUCUACACUUGGAACAAUAGAAACAAAACGUCAUCUAAAACACUCCCUAGAUUCCAAAAACUCUACUCGAGAAGAAAACUCCUCUCUACAAGUUCUUGUUCUCCAAGAUUCAUUACACGUGCAUUAAUGUGUUGUUUGAACUUUAGUAUGCAAUUGGGGUAAAAAAAAAAUCAUAGUACCGAAGUUACAACUCAUCACAUGCUUUGUGUAGGUCAUGCAUGCUGUGCACAGGUGUCAUACUCAUUUGGGCACAUGAUGUUCUGCUCAAUACUGAGAAAUACCAUACCAAGCAAUUCUCAGUAGAAAUCAUAUUAAGUGGAAAUCUCCUUGAAUGUGUUUGGACGAUCUACUUGCACGAUUUGUUCUUAGACAUAACAUAGUUCAUGUUUUUUUUUUAUUCCUCUAAAUAUUUAUUCUUUUGAAAGAAACAUUGGCUAGUAGCUUCUAUAUCCAAAAUGUUCUCUUUUAAAGUUUUUCUGAAUCUCAAUCAUCUCUAGGGACACUGUUGGACAAGAGAGAUUUAGGAGCCUCAUCCCAAGUUAUAUUCGUGACUCAUCAGUUGCAGUGAUUGCUUAUGAUGUUGCAAAUCGUCAGUCUUUCUUAAAUACUUUAAAAUGGAUUGAAGAGGUUCGAACGGAGAGGGGAAGUGAUGUUAUUAUUGUCCUUGUU